rnacentral:rRNA from 1 species
GAUGAACGCUAGCGGCAGGCCUAACACAUGCAAGUCGAGGGGCAUCGCGGUGCAGCAAUGCACUGGCGGCGACCGGCGUACGGGUGCGUAACGCGUAUGCAACCUGCCCCGCACCGGGGGAUAGCCCGCCGAAAGGCGGAUUAAUACCCCAUGGUCCCGGGGGCCCGCAUGGGCUACCGGGUAAAGCCUUGGCGGUGCGGGAUGGGCAUGCGUGCCAUUAGCUGGCUGGUGGGGUAACGGCCCACCAGGGCGACGAUGGCUAGGGGGUCUGAGAGGAUGGUCCCCCACACUGGUACUGAGACACGGACCAGACUCCUACGGGAGGCAGCAGUGAGGAAUAUUGGUCAAUGGGCGGAAGCCUGAACCAGCCAUGCCGCGUGCGGGAUGAAGGCCCUACGGGUUGUAAACCGCUUUUCCCCGGGAAGAAUAACCCCGACGCGUCGGGGAUGCCGGUACCGGGGAAUAAGGAGUCGGCUAACUCCGUG